UCUGAUCGUUAAUACGGACUUCCGUAGUUAACUAGGAAAAUAAAGUGCAGUUUUGAUAAAAAAAAAUUUAUAUUUGUUAUAUGUUUAAAUCGCCAAUUGAUUCAUUUUAACGUACAUACAACAUAAUUGGAGUUGACAAACGAUGGUGAUGUGCGUUUUUUUAAAUUGCUAUUAAAUAAAUUUUACGAAAAUAUUUACACUGAUAACGUAACGUCAUUUGAGGACCAGCAGUGCUAAUUUCACAGAUAAAUGGACCGCGGAUAAUAAGGGACUCCAAGUAUAAUGCGCUGUUGCGAGUCAACAAAUCCAAGUGUUCUACUUUCAAACCGACACGUCCUGAAAAUUCUGAAAUAAAUGGGAACAUGUACCGAGUGACUUCCUUAUUCUAAUUGAGAUACACGUAUUUAACUCUUAAGAAUGCAGAAAACUAUAAAUUUUAAAUAGUUUUAAAAUUAAAUAAAAUACAAUUCAUAUUGA